GACGAACGCUGGCGGCGUGCUUAACACAUGCAAGUCGAACGAAGAGGUCCGGCUUUGGGGGGGUGCUCUAGUGGCGAACGGGUGAGUAACCCGUGGGUAACCUGUAAUUGACAGUGGGAUAACUUCAGGAAAUUUGGUCUAAUACCGGAUAAGAGUUCCUGCUGAAUGGUGGGGGUUGGAAAGUUUCGGCGGUUGGGGAGGGACUCGCGUCUUAUCAGGUUGUUUGUGGGGUAGUGUAUUACCAAGGCUUUGACGGGUAGCCUGCCUGCGCGGCUGACCGGCCACAUUGGGAUUGGGAUGCGGCCCAGACCCCUACGGGAGGGGGGGGUGGAGUAUAUUGCAUUAUGGGAUGAACCAUGACGUAGCCAAGCCGUGUGGCGUAUGACGGCCAUCCGUUUGUAUUCCGAUUUCGCCUGUGAAGAAGUGUGAGUGACGGUAAUGGGUAAAGAAGCACCGGCUAACUCCGUG
rnacentral:rRNA from 1 species